UCUUCCCAAACCAAAGCCAUCACGCCUG
rnacentral:piRNA from 1 species